UCAGACGAUGCGUCAUGUAUAUCAAUAAGCGGAGGAAAAGAAACUAACAAGGAUUCCCCUAGUAACGGCGAGUGAAGCGGGAAGAGCUCAAAUUUGAAAUCUUAAAGGGUUUCCCUUUACGAAUUGUAGUUUAAAGAAGUGUUUUCUGUUGAGGUUUUGGUAAAAGUUCUUUGGAAUAGGACAUCAUAGAGGGUGAGAAUCCCGUAUUUGACCUUUACUUUCAACUUUGUGAUACACUUUCAAAGAGUCGGAUUGCUUGGGAAUGCAGUCCAAAAUGGGUGGUAAAUUUCAUCUAAAGCUAAAUAUUGGCGAGAGACCGAUAGCGAACAAGUACCGUGAGGGAAAGAUGAAAAGAACUUUGAAAAGAGAGUUAAACAGUACGUGAAAUUGUCAAAAGGGAAGCGUUUGACACCAGUGUUGUUUUUCUGAAAAUCAAUUAAAGAACUGUUUAUGCUAAGUUGUUUAGACUUUAUCAGCUAACUGUUUAGUUUUGAGCUUUUCUUUAAUGCACUUUUCAGUUAACAAGUCAACAUCAAUUUCUUUUGCUGUAAAAAAGCUUGAGGAAGGUGGCUUGAGAUUCGUCUUAAGUGUUUAUAGCCUCUUGCCUAUGCAGUCGGAGAGAUUGAGGUCUGCAGCGUAGAUCCUUCGGGGCUAAAUGCAUUUGUGCUAAGUUAUAGCAUUUUAUAGACAACUUGUUGACUAUGAUUUGUCUUGUAGCUUACUCGCUUAUGUUAUUUUACCUACGCUUAGGAUGUUGACACACGCGCGUGCUCG
rnacentral:rRNA from 1 species